rnacentral:sRNA from 1 species
UUAAAAUCUUCUCUCCCUCACUAUCUCCAAACCAAAAAAAAUCUGGAAUUAAAAGGGUUUUCUUAUGUCAAAAUCGGGUCAGCAACAGCAACCUCACCAACAAAUGCAACAGCAACAGCAGCAACAGGGAAAAAUGAUGGUUGUACAUCAUCAAAGAACAACAACACCUGAUGGAUCACAAGUAUAUCUACUACAACCGAGUCAAAGUCAUCCACAGCAGAGACAGG